CGGAAUCGCUCCUGCUCGCCCCUCUGACUGACUCCUCCGGCUCACCGUCUUCCCUUUGGGAGGAAGAGGCGGGACAUCCUGUUUCUCCGUCGAAGGACUUCCGGUGGCUUCCAAGGCGACUCCGUAGUGGAUGCAGCGCCGGACGCCACAGCCGAAAAACAGAAUCUUGGAACUGGUUUAGUACAAUCCAGGUCGAGUUCCUUGUUUUUUAUCCGAGUGGCCGGCAGGCCCAUGUGCUGUCUUGUUUUUAACACAUCAGCUCUUGCCGGAAGCCGCUAAGAGAUAAAAUAGGAAGUCCCACCCUUCCCUUAGAGAAGGAAAACGGAGAGCCGAAGGAGUCAAUCUAAAUUCGAUGAGCGCGUCGGGCUCCAAGGCAGGCGCUGUCAGCCCGGGAGGGCUGUCUGGGAUUUCUAGAGGGUCCCAGAACGGGUUCUUCCCAGGCCGAUCCCGCCUGCUUCCUGCCCCGUCUCUCCACCCGCCUCCCGCCCUCUGUAAGGGACCCCGAGGGCGGCGCCGGAAACACGGAGAAGGCCCAGAACGGCGCGGGACCCGAGAGGCCUACGUUGGCAAACGCAGCCCGCUGCCCCUUUGCUCGCUUCCCCCGGGCCUGGAGUGGCUCCUGUCGCUUCUGGCGCUCCGAUUUCGAGAAAUGACUUUCAGCUGUGCAAGGCGAGAAUGCUACUUUAGAUGAUGAGAAAAAAUCUCUCGAAUGGCUCCCAAAAUGAGGUCCUUGUUUAAGAGGCCACAGGAAGCCGCUAGCCGAACUCUGAUACCAAAGAGGAGGCCAAGAAGCGGACUGUGGCUUGGUGACCUGUUUGGUAUUGCCAAAUUUUCAGCUUUUAUUAAAGCUGAAACACCUUGGCUGUUUAAAACGUUCGACAAGGACUUUUUUAUGAACGUUAACGGCACAGCAUACGGGUUUUUUGGAAAAAAAAAAAGGCAGGACUUCAGCCCGUCCGCCCCCUUGUGCAGGUCCAUUCAUGAACCUCGAGUUAGAGGCCUUUCUUCUGAAACUCAGAAUCUAGUAGGGAAGACCUGUGUAGACGAAUAAAAAUAAAUACAUCACAGCUUGUUAAGUGCUGUGACAAAGAGGCAGUGAAAUCCUGCUUGAGGUCAUCUGCCUUGCUAAAGAGGUUUGACUAUGUUGUAGGCACAGGGUUAGGGUUAGACUCUGUAAUGGGAAGUUAUGUGAUCAGAUUUCUGUUUAGGAAGAUCACUGGCCAGGCGGGGUGGCUUACGCCUGUAAUCCCAAUACUUUGGGAGGCCGAGUCGGUGGAUUGCUUGAGGCUAGGAUUUUGAGACCAGCCUGGGGAAACCGCGUCUCUACUAAAAAUUUGAAAUUAGCCAGGCAUGGUGGUGCGAGCCUGUAAUUCCAGCUACUUGGAGGCUGAGGCGGGAGAAUAGCUUGAACCCAGUGGCGGAGGCUGCAGUGAGCCGAGAUUGCGCCACUGCACUCCAGCCUGGGCGACAGAGCGAGAUUCCGUCUCAAAAAAAUCAUUGUAAGUAAUUGGAUUUUUGUGUGUGUGUGAUGUUCUGAAGAUAGGCUUUCUAGGCCAAAUCGUCACUCAAGGCCAAUUCGAACACAAUUCAGUUUAAAUCAGAAUACAUUCGAGUGAUAAUUCCUUACCUUUUUAAAUAGUUCAUAGAAAACUUUUUGUAGACAUUAUCUGGUUUAAUUCUGAUUGUAAUCCACAUGAAUUCUCUUAUCCACAGUAAGGAACAGUAAUUUAGAAGACUAAUAAACUGUUCCAAGAUCACACAGCUAGUAAAAGUGGAACUCAACCUAAAACUCCAGAGUCAAGCUUUUCCAUCAUGUAGACUCAGUUUAAUAGUAAUAGUUAAUUAAAAAUUCUAGAGAAAAAUGUGGGAAACAAUUUCCUCACAAGUGACCAGCUGCAAAUGUUAUUUGUAUUCCAUUAACCAACAUUUAUUGGGUGCCUGUUAUAUAAAAGAUAAAACUGGGUUCUGCCUUCAAAGAGUUCACUUGAAAUUUAAAAUUUAUGUGAAAAUUUAGCACUUCCUACAGUGUUUUAAUAGCUAUUUCAACAGUGUUGGUGUUGUAUGACAAGGUGAUAAAUUUCUUGACAAUAACAAUAGCACAAUUCUGUAUAUGGAUUGGGCAUUCUGUGAUCUUUGGGUGAUUUAUCUUGCUACCUUUCUUACCUUGGGGGUUUAGUUAACACUUAUGUUCCUCCCCUGAGCAGUGAAGUAAAAUCUAAGUUUAUGUUUCAGUUCUAUUUUGAGUAUUUUGAGUUACUAAGACAGGACCUUAAGGAAGUCAGUUUGACCUCAUUUCCAACUGAGAGAGUCCAUAGAUGUCAUUCAAGACUAAUUUUCUGAUUCUAAGGAAAAAGGGAAGUCUUUUUUUUUCUUCCUCUCUUUAUUUUUGAAUGAAUAAUGCUUGACAUGGACAACACAGACUUUUAGUGAAGACAGAGAGUCCUAGUGAUGAAACCACCUUUGCAAAAAUUACAACUGAGAAAAUUAUGACAGUGAAAGAGAUCUGACCUAACCAAUUCCAUCUUGCUUCUAAACUCUGUCCUUGUUCAUUCCUGGGCAUAGGCAGAACUAACUCUGGAAGGAACUUAGUUUAUAGUGUAACUUUGAAACAAAGAUGAUAACAGCUCAUUCUGAAAACAAACCCCUUUCUGGCCUGGGGACCAGACUGCCUUUUUAGGGCUAGCAAAUUAGCCACAAGAUUAGAAAUUACAGUUUAGGAAUAAUGCAGCUAGAGGCCACAAGAUUCUAAACCUCCCCAAUUGUUCCUAAGGAUAAUAUCACUAUUGUAAAACCCAAGAUUGGUGCUUAAGAUGUUUUUCAGACCCCGCACUCAUGGAUCAGCUGGCAUCACUCAGAUGGAUAAACUGGCUCAUCUAGUCCUGUAGCCCCCACCCAAGAACUGACUCAGUGCAAGAGGACAGUUUCAACUCCCUAUGAUUUCAUGUCACACCAGAGCCAUCAAUUCUCCCCGCUCCCUGGUCUCCUACUCCCCCAAAUUAUCCUUUAAAAAUCCCAGUCUCUGAAUUUUCAGGA
rnacentral:lncRNA from 1 species